AUUCUGCAUUCCGAAUCUUAAUUCGCUAUCCAUGCCUACUCGACAUCAAGACGGCGAGCACUAAACAAUUCCCAGCGCCAGUGCCAUCCUGGAAGCAUCAACAGAGAAAAUCAUCGCUCUACAAGUCGUGAACAGUGAGACCAGGGGGCAGGGACUGCUUCAGCUUGUCAGCCUUGUCGGAGUCGAAGACGCAUAGGGUGUAGAGGUACUUCGAGCACCUCACCUUGAACUUGACGACAUCCUUGGAGCGCUUGAUCUUGACGCUGCGGGCGUCCUUGCGCCGGGCCGUGAGAAGAAAGUCCUUGAUCUCACUGAUCUGCUUCGCCAUGCUGGCUGACGAAUCUUCACACUGCCCUACAAGGAGGUGAGAGAAAUUGGCGAUGGCGGCCCUGCAACCAGCAACAAAGACG
rnacentral:lncRNA from 1 species